UCUAGAGAAGGGCCCUUGCAUGACUUUAGAUCUUUUGUUUCAAAAAUACUUGUACAUACUCCAGUUUUAUGUUUGCAGGUCUGUCUGUGAGAUAUGCUGCAGGUGCUUGCCAGAAGUGGGAUUGCUGUAUGAAGGAGAAUAUCUUGCUAGAGAAAACCAUGCCAAGCCUGAAAACAUUGGGGACCCGACGCCAAGUUCAACAAGCCCAGGGAACUUUCUGGCAAGAAAUGAUUCCAUCUGUAACAAGGCCAGUCUCGUGGGCUGGAGCUCACAAUUGGCAGGAAGGUAAGUAUCCUUUGCUCUGUUUGUCCUCCUCUCUAAUUUACUCCCACUUACUUAAGCUUUUAAACCAUU
rnacentral:lncRNA from 1 species